UGUUCUUUCUUUGGCAAACCUAACCUCGGAGGCGGGGCGGCGGCCCAGCGUCGACAAGGACUUGGGCGGGGUAUGCGGCCGGCGGGUAGCUGCGCGGGUUAGCUCGGCCCAGCGUCGACGAGGGCUUGGGUGCCGGAGCCCACGUGGUCGGUCCGCGGUGAGCAUCGGCUCGGCGCGACUACGGCCGCCGAGGACGCCAUGGAUAUAGACGCGCACCCCAAUCUGACUGUCGACCCUGGCCGCCGAGCGUCCCACCUCGCCUCGCCUCGAGAUCCUCCGGUGGUGGGGUUUAGGGGAAGGAGACGUGUAGCGGUCAAAGUGGCGGCGACGCGGGCGUGCUGCGACGUCCACCGCGUCGGCGGUACCUGCUCCUCCGGUCGUGGUUCCGGCGGCGGCGACGACGGCAGCGGUGACGUCGGUUCCGCCGGUGAGGCGGCUGCGGGAGCCCGAGCCCCAGCGGCCUCCCCCCCUUCCUCCUCCACCCGCUAAACCACCUCUCCCAACGCCUCGACCACCUGCUCUAGCGCCACUAGAGGCUGAAGUCCUUGCGGAUGGCCUCCGUCAAGACGUUAGACAGCGCCGCCUAGGCGGACGAGCGCGGGUACUACCUCCUCCAGUUCCUUCCUGGUGCGGGCAACGGCCUCCGCAGUGACCGGCGCGAGUCCGUCGAGUCCCUGCGCGAGCGGCCGCGGGCCCUCGACGAGGCGGAGCCGUCGUUGCCAUCGUUCUAGAAGGACCAAGAGCUCUCUCUCUUCUAUUACGUCUGAAAGGUCCUGUAAUGGAGCUCCGAACUCGUUCGGAAUCGACCAUAGAGCAAACUACUCGAACCGUAUAGUCUACUUCAUUCCCUUGUCCAACUUGACCACGUACGAGUUAAGUUUUCUCGUUUUCUUGCUGGUCUAUGUAGCCUACUGUAAGAGAAAUUACUAGAUUAAAGACGGAUAUUAAGUUCGUGGUUACUAUUACGACUAGGUCUAUAGUAAGUUUCCAAUAGACUCUUCAACGUCGAACAGUGGUAUAUACUGGAGUUAGUUCUUAGUAACCGGAACGUACUCUACCGAUCACCUCCCCUAGGGCCACGUCAACAACUCUUAUACAGUUACGACGACUUUUUCUAGUUCCUAAAACACGUCUGGGUCCUAGGAUAUCCGUAGGGUCGUUCAUGUUGUUUGGGAAGGGCUCUACUGUUGAACUGUAGAGGACAACAGGGCCUACUAAAAGCAACGGGUUAUAGUGACCUAAAUUACUUUCUGGGUCAAUAACAGAGGUGACCGGUCUGAAUGCUCGCUCCAACGUAUCUCUCUACCAACCUCCGUCCCGUGCUGUGGACAGGAUUCUGCGUCGUCUUCGAAGGUUUAUUUAGAGAUUGAGGUUUGAUACACGAGGCAUCGGAGUAUCGAGUUACCACACUUCGCUUACCACAUCUCGGCGGUUUCGCGGGACGAGUCGGAUUAUGAUGUCUUCGUUGUACAUGGCGGAGACUCGUAUCAUUUCAAUAACUCGAGGACGUCUUUGAUAGUAGGGUCUUGGAACGUCUAGUUGCACCUCGACGUCCAUACGAAGCAGUCGAACGGUUCGCAUCGCGACUUUUAGCACGAACAUAUCCUCUUCGACCACGAUAAGGAUAGGAACACUCGGAAGAUGGUUGGUGGCUACAAUCGUGGGUCCUUGUACACCAAUGACGAGAGGACUUAGAAAGAUAAAUACUUCUCUUGUUUCGUUCUUAUUAAUGGAGACCUCGACAAGGACCUUAACAUGUACACGAUUUCUCUCCGUCGUACCUCCGAGCCCUCUUAAGUCGACGGUGUGACAAAUCGGAUAGUGAACACCUACUCUUGUUCCACUGCUAUCCCCGAAGACCCCGUUAAGGUCGAAACCACGACGAUAACCCAUUACCUUCAGUUGCCCCAUUUUUCCUACGUCGUUGUCGUGAUAAAUUGAACACAUAGAUAGUCCCGUUGUUCCCAUUUCGACAAUCUCGACCUAACCAGGGAUAUGAUGAACUCGAAGAUUGUCUCUGACUUUCACCUUACCAACUACUCCGGGACCGAUAUGACCGUUAAGAGAGCUCGGUAGGACUCCCUUUCCGUCGGUAGUCGCGACGGCGGCGGUAUGGUUAAGAUCAACCUCAAUAGUCCUUACCUAGGAGAACCUUGUUCCUCUUACGACGCCGACAAGACCACGUAGAGACAUUACCGCUUGUCGUCGUUGUCGUAGAACGUCUUCGUGUCCUCGUCCCGUAGCACUGGAACGACCUCCUCGAUCGUCUUUCGCCGUAUCUGUCCCCCUUCUCUUUUCGCUAGGUCAACGAACUUGCCUACUUAUCCAAAGAUUUCGUCGUCUCGGUUCGGGUCCCUCUGCGCUACCGUGUCCGCGUGUGAGUCAGGGUUUGGGACAGGGUCCAAGACCAAGUUCGAGUUCGUCUAUGAGUCGAUCUCCUUAGUGACGGAGGAUGAAGUAGGGUAGAAGGUCUUUCUACUCCACUUAUUAGUAAUCGAAGAGUAAGAUCCAUCACCAAACAAAAACCCGGCAGACGGUCCACCUUCUGGAGGACGUUAAGAACGAGACGUCCACACGCAAAACCGACAUGUUACAACAGUCCUUAUCCUUCCGGGCCGUCGCGUCGCACUAAAUCCCUAAAUCCCGACACUCGUACAACUGUCCAGUCAAAACGUUGGUACCAACCACGACAAUUGGGCACAAACAAACAUCAACCAUGUUACACAGGCCACUAAGUUCCAUCCUAGGAGCUCAAAAUCCCUCCAUAUAGCAGUAUACGAACAUGACCCACGGACCAUGUACUGAUUAAACACCGAAGGAUCCCACUAUUAAAAUGGACGGACUCUUUCUCUCGAACUCAUUUCGGAAGCAAGUUCAAAAACACAAGUCGAUUCGAAGACGAGACCUAUAAAAGAUUCUGUUAUCGACCUCGUACCUGACAAGAAGCGCACAUUGAGCUUUCUUUAGGUACACCCACACCCGUACAAGGCUAGUGACAGGCGUACAACAACGGUAACUUUAAGCGGG
rnacentral:rRNA from 1 species